AGAAGGUACACAGCGACUGUUGGAGGAGGAAGUCACUUCUGGGCGUGUAGGGGAGCCCCGUGUAGACAUCUGCAGCCUUGGAUCUCCUGACCA
rfam:Tupaia belangeri cont1.187609, whole genome shotgun sequence.